CCCUUAGAUGUUCUGGGCCGCACGCGCGCUACACUGAUUCAUGCAACAAGUUUUGUCCUUGGCUGAUAGGCCUGGGUAAUCUUUGAACGUGAAUCGUGAUGGGGAUAGAUGAUUGCAAUUAUUCAUCUUCAACGAGGAAUUCCUAGUAAACGCAAGUCAUCAGCUUGCAUUGAUUACGUCCCUGCCCUUUGUACACACCGCCCGUCGCACCUACCGAUUGAAUGGUCCGGUGAAAUCUUCGGAUCUGAGAGAUGUCUGAUUAAUUUCGGACGCCUUUUGGAAAAGUUGCUUAAACCUUACCAUUUAGCGGAAGGUGAAGUCGUANCA
rnacentral:rRNA from 1 species